rnacentral:lncRNA from 1 species
AACUCCCUAUUUGGAUUAAUAACAAUGUUGUCAAAAUUUGGCUGUAGUUAGACACAGGAGCACUGUGCAGUGAGUCCACCACUGGACUCCCAACAUGUUUACAUCUCUGGUACAUAUACAAAUCAACACCAAUCUUUCACUCUUUGAGCUUCUCGCUCCUGUUAUGCCCUCCGUCCAUAAUACCCUGUUGUGUCUCCGCCUAGGAGAAUCUAUUCAACUUCAAGGCUUACUUCAAGUUUCACCUCCAAAAAGCAAGGGCACCAUGCCAAUGAUCAUCCCAUGUGGAUGUGACACGGCUUUCCCUGAACUACAAUAACACUCACACUUUAAUACUUCUACGGCAACUGUCACACAUAUCUGGUUACAUGAGAGGCAGCAUCAAACAGCAUUAAGACCUUAGGCUUGUGGUCAGAAUACCUGGGUUUGGGUCCCACCUCCCCCACAUACUAGCUGUGUAAGUAAGUUGAACAACUUACUUAAAUCCUUUUUUUUUUUUGUCUGUAAAAUGGGAAUGAUAAUAGCACAUACCUCACGGAAUCGUGAGGAUUAAAUUAAUACAUGUCAAGUGCUUAGAGUAAUGCAUGGCAAAGAUAGCAAGGGCUUUUGAGUAUUGACCGCAUCUAUCCAACAGAACUAUUUCUCAAGGAGCACAUAGACAACAAGCCUGGGUCAUAACGUCAUUUUCAUUCACAUUGCACCUGAAGUGAGUUUUUAUGUCUUUUAGGUACCAGGGUAUGAUGCAAGGAGCUGGGCUUUAGUUAUAAACACUUGAAUCCAAGUCCAAAUUGCCAAAUUUGCCGUUUCACUUUAGGCAAAUAUUUCACCUCUCUGUGCCUCAAAUUUUCUAACCUGUAAAGUUGGAAUAAUAUCUACUUCACAGGGCUAUUUAGGCCAAAAAUUACACAGUUAAACUCUCAGCAUCAUGCCUGGUUCAUAGUAGACACACCAUAAAUUUUAAUUCCUUUUCACUUCUUCCCAUAAGGCAAACAAUUACAGCUUUACAACAUUGCCUUAGAGCCCAACCAUGACUAGAAUGUGCAAAAUUAAUUUCAUUUUUAAAUCUCAAAUCCCACAAAAUGAGUUUACUUAAAAUGAAACUCAUUUAUAUUUACCACAGAAAUCUAAAUUUCUUUUUUUUUUUUUUUUUUUUUUGAGACAGAGUCUUACUCUGUCACCCAGGCUGGAGUGCAGUGGCAUGAUCUCGGCUUACUGCAACCUCUGCCUCCCGGGUUAAAGCAAUUCUCCUCCCUCAGCCUCCCGAGUAGUUAGCGUAACAGGCUUGCACCACCAUGCCCAGUUAAUUUUUGUACUUUUAGUAAAGACUGGGUUUCACCAUGUUGGCCAGGCUGGUCCCGAACUUCUGACCUCAAGUGAUCUGCCCACCUCGGCCUCCCAAAGUGCUGGGAUUACAGGUGUGAGCCACCGCGCCUGGCCAAUUCUUGAUAACACCAUAAAUUUAAGUUCCUUUUCACUUUUUCCCACAAGAUAAAUUACAGCUUUACAACAUUUUCUCAGAGCCCAAAAGGGCACCCAGCCCACGCCCCGCUUUAGAAAACACC